GAGGAGAAAAAGAAGAUAGUGUUGAUUUUAUUCAAAGGGCUGGCCGCUAAAAGAUUUGAGUAGGCGGAGCAUAUAUACCAAGGAGCAAAUAAAUUAGCAG